GACGAACGCUGGCGGCGUGCCUAAUACAUGCAAGUUGAGCGCUGAAGGUUGGUACUUGUACCAACUGGAUGAGCAGCGAACGGGUGAGUAACGCGUGGGGAAUCUGCCUUUGAGCGGGGGACAACAUUUGGAAACGAAUGCUAAUACCGCAUAAAAACUUUAAACACAAGUUUUAAGUUUGAAAGAUGCAAUUGCAUCACUCAAAGAUGAUCCCGCGUUGUAUUAGCUAGUUGGUGAGGUAAAGGCUCACCAAGGCGAUGAUACAUAGCCGACCUGAGAGGGUGAUCGGCCACAUUGGGACUGAGACACGGCCCAAACUCCUACGGGAGGCAGCAGUAGGGAAUCUUCGGCAAUGGACGAAAGGCUGACCGAGCAACGCCGCGUGAGUGAAGAAGGUUUUCGGAUCGUAAAACUCUGUUGGUAGAGAAGAACGUUGGUGAGAGUGGAAAGCUCAUCAAGUGACGGUAACUACCCAGAAAGGGACGGCUAACUACGUA
rnacentral:rRNA from 1 species